UACGAAGGGGGCUAGCGUUGCUCGGAAUGACUGGGCGUAAAGGGCGCGUAGGCGGAUGGCUUUGUCGGGCGUGAAAUUCCAGGGCUUAACCUUGGGGCUGCGUUCGAGACGGGUUGUCUAGAGUUUGGAAGAGGGUCGUGGAAUUCCCAGUGUAGAGGUGAAAUUCGUAGAUAUUGGGAAGAACACCCGUGGCUAAGGCGGCUCUCUAGUACGGUACUGACGCUGAGACGCGAAAGCGUGGGGAGCGAACAGG
rnacentral:rRNA from 1 species